UUCACACGUAAUAUUGUCAGGUUUUUUCUUUAUUUGAGGCAUUCUAAUAGACAUACAGAGUAUCUCAUUGUGGUUUUAGUCUUCAUUUUCCUGACAACUAAUGAUGUUGAGAAAAUGGCUACACUUUAAAACUGACAAUACUAACUGUCCAAGAGGUUGUGGAGCAACUGGGACCAUCAUAUGCAGCCGAGGGUUUAUAAACAGGGACAACCACUUGGGAAAACUGGCAAAAUAUAUUAAAGCUAAAUAUACACAUACUCUAUGACCUAGUACA
rnacentral:lncRNA from 1 species